rnacentral:antisense_RNA from 1 species
GAGUUGUAGCGUCCCCUGGGGUCUGUUCUGGAGGAGGCCUGAGAGCGGGGUUGCCUGGGGCGUGGGGCUCUCAUCCCUCUUGUCAUGGUGAAGAAGAAGAGUAUACCCAGCGGCAGCUGGCUUUGCUUUUUCAGAGGAAACAGAGACUCUCAGACAUGAAUACUGUGACACUGACCACCAGGCCAACUUAACAUCAGCAGAUAUCCUGUCUCAGAUGAAGAGAAUGGCCUGUCCAGAAGACAGCCAAAUACAUCCUUCAAAUAGACUUCACUGCAGGAGACAGAGUGGAUUCAUCCCGUAUUCUCCACAUGGACUUCCAUCUUCAUGAGUACUCCAAGAAGGUGGUUCAGUUGACUAUUGCAAAGUCUCAGGUAUGUCUUUAUCAGCAGCAUGAAAACGGACUAAUAGUACCAGUAGAGUGGGGCAUUGCUGAAAAGAUACCCGAAAAUGUGGAAGCAACUUUGGAACUGGGUGUUGAAAUAAUCUGGAGGGCUCAGAAGAAGAUAGGAAAAUGUGGGAAAGUUUGGAACCUCCUAGAGACUUGUGAAUGGCAUUGACAAAAAUACUGAUAGUGAUAUGAACAAUAAGGUCCAGGCUGAGGUGGUCUCAGAUGGAGAUGAAGACCUUGUUGGGAACUGGAGUAAAGGUGACGCUUGUUAUGUUUUAGCAAGGAGACUGGCAGCAUUUCACCCCUGCCCUAGAGAUUUGUGGAACUUUAAGCUUGAGAGAGAUGAUUUAGGGUAUCUGGUGGAAUAAAUUUCUAAGCCGCAAAGCAUUCAAAAGGUGACUUGGGUGCUGUUAAAAACAUUCUUUUUUAAAAGGGAAACAAGAACAUAAAAGUGGAAAAUUUGCAGCCUGAUGCAGUAGGAAAGAAAAACCCAUUUUUUUUUAAGAAGAAAUUCAAGCUGGCUGCAGAAAUUUGCAUAAGCAGCAAGGAGCCUAAUGUU